rnacentral:rRNA from 1 species
GACAGAGGGUGCAAACGUUGUUCGGAUUUACUGGGCGUAAAGCGCGCGCAGGCGGCACUUCAAGUAAGGUGUGAAAUCUCCCUGCUCAACGGGGAGGGUGCACUUUAGACUGGGGAGCUAGAGGACGGUAGAGGGGGGUGGAAUUGCUGGUGUAGCGGUGAAAUGCGUAGAGAUCAGCAGGAACACCCGUGGCGAAGGCGGCCCCCUGGGCCGUACCUGACGCUGAGGCGCGAAGGCUAGGGGAGCGAACGGG